AUUCUUGUCGCCCUUCGAGGUGCCCGUCCAGCUUCUGCUGCUUCGGGAUAAUCGGGAAGCCGGUGCGCAAACUGCUGUUUGCAAGUCCGGCGCUGCCCCCGCAACGGUAAGUUCUGUGCCUUCAGCAAUGAAGGGUUUUUUCCCUGUAACCACUGUGCCGCUUCAGUAACAAACAGCGCAUGGGAAGGUGGGAAAAAACUGGUCAUGACCAGCACAAACAAGCCCGGAGACCGGCCUUGAAGAUGAGGAAUGG
rnacentral:ncRNA from 2 species